UUUACAAUAUUCAUAACCAACAGGAAAAAUAAAGAGAGGAAGAAAAGGAGAAAAAAAUCAGAACCUUUGUUCGUUGAUGUCCACCACCGUUAAGUUCACCAAAAUGACGACUACUUUUGCUGUCCUCAUUAUUAUGUCAUUCAUAAAUCAGAUUAUGACAAGCAAUUCAACGGGAAACGACACAGCGCCAUUAUCAGCUGAAGAACCUGUAUCAAAAAUUGAAAAUUCAAUCCUACAAACCCCGCUCUUUAAGAAGUUUCGUACAAUUGUCAAAAAGCAGCCACCCAGUCCUCCAGGAAAAAUAAAGGAGAUCCAAAAGAUUAAUAUAAAUACAAUCCUCGGUUGUAUUAAAAAAGAUACUUGUUAUUAAUUUUAAAAAAUACAUACAUCUGUCCGUGAACAGUUUAGGUUCAAUACUUCAUGUGUGUAAAUAUUAGAAUGUAUCUGCAUAAAGACUGACAUUUGAAAUAAAAUAAACUAUUUUAGAAUUAU
rnacentral:sRNA from 1 species